CUACUCCACCUUUAAACUUUUUGCUACUAGUCCAAAAGUGCACAUGGUUGUUUUAAAAGCUUAACAGAUAUUACUAAAUAGAUACUCCUAAUUGACAGUCGGAGCUAUCUCGGUAUUUGCACACCUCCUCAUUCAGUUUGCCAU
ensembl:ncRNA C05E11.11 ncRNA